rnacentral:rRNA from 1 species
UACAGGGGGGGGCAAGCGUUGUUCGGAAUUACUGGGCGUAAAGGGCUCGUAGGUGGCCAACUAAGUCAGACGUGAAAUCCCUCAGCUUAACUGGGGAACUGCGUCUGAUACUGGAUGGCUUGGAUUCGGGAGAGGAAUGCGGAAUUCCAGGUGUAGCGGUGAAAUGCGUAGAUAUCUGGAGGAACACCGGUGGCGAAGGCGGCAUUCUGGACCGACAUUGACGCUGAGGAGCGAAAGCCAGGGGAGCAAACGGG